CGUAGCUAGUGACGUAAUCAUAGUAAAUUUUCGUGUUCAAAUGCGGCAGACAUUUAGGGAAUCACAUCGGGGUAGUGUCAGUUUUGUUUAAGCUUUGCACAAUUUGAUGUGUAAACAACUUCUCUAAACUCACAAUGAGAAGUAAACUAAACUAUUGAAAAUGUUUCGCUGUAUUCCAUUAUUUCGAGGUUGCAAUCGCCAAGUUGAAUGCAUCGACAAGAGACACUGUAGUUUGGCAAACGUACCUGAUGAUGUUUUACGUUAUCCCAGGACAUUAGAAGAGCUCUUGCUAGAUUCAAACCACAUUCGAGAUCUACCAAAGGGUUUGUUUCGUCUAAUAAAAUUGCGAAGAUUGAGCUUGAGUGAUAAUGAAAUCUGUUUAUUGCCUUCUGAUAUUGCAAGCUUGGUAAAUUUAGUUGAACUAGAUAUUAGUAAAAAUGAUAUUUCUGACAUCCCUGAAAAUAUCAAGUUUUUAAAAUCUUUGCAAAAUGCUGACAUUAGUAGCAAUCCUCUAACAAAAUUGCCCGCUGGAUUUGUACAGCUUAAAAAUCUUACAGUUUUAGGGUUAAAUGAUAUUUCUAUUUCUCGGCUACCAAAUGACUUUGGAAACUUAUCAAACCUUCAAUCUCUUGAGCUUCGAGAAAAUAGUAUUCGAAAUCUACCUCCCUCAUUUUCUAAUUUGACAAAACUAGAAAGGCUAGAUUUGGGGAGUAAUGAAAUAUCAGAAUUACCUGCUCUUAUUGGUCAGCUUUCUAGUCUACAAGAACUUUGGCUGGAUUGCAAUGAUCUUUACACCUUACCAAUAGAAAUUGAAAAUUUGAAAAAAUUAGCCUGUUUGGAUGUUAGUGAAAAUAAGCUGGAGUACUUACCUGAAGAAAUUGGUGGCUUAGAAAAUCUCACCGACUUGCAUCUAUCUCAAAAUUAUUUAGAAUCUCUGCCGGAUGGAAUAGGAAAAUUGUCCAAACUUACCAUCUUCAAGGUUGAUCAGAAUCGUCUGCUCUCACUUACUCCAGAAAUAGGCAACUGUGAAUCUCUCCAGGAAUUGAUACUUACUGAAAAUCUUAUAUCAGAACUACCUUCAUCAAUCGGAAAUUUAGUUAACCUAACAAACCUAAAUCUGGACAGGAAUCGUUUGUCUCUAAUACCUUCCCAAAUUGGAAACCUGACAAGGUUAGGAGUGCUAUCCCUACGAGAAAAUAGAUUAAAUUUCUUACCUGAUGAAACUGGAAUGUUAAAAGAAUUACAUGUCUUGGAUGUGUCGGGGAACCGAUUGCAAUAUCUGCCAUUAACCAUUACUGCUUUAAACUUGAAAGCUCUUUGGUUAGCUGAAAAUCAGUCACAGCCCAUGUUAAAGUUUCAAACUGAUGUUAAUGAAAGAACAGGAACAAAAGUGCUGACAUGCUUUCUGUUGCCCCAACAAGAAUAUCACCCAGAAAGUAUGGAAAAUUUGCUCAGAGACAGUGGUGAGCAGGAUAGCAGAUUAAGUUGGGACCAAAAAGCUGAUCGAACUUCUUCUGUUAAGUUUGUUGAAGAUGAGAAAGAAUUGGAAGACAAAGAAGAUAAGGAGACUCAAUUUGUGCGGCAUGAUACACCUCAUCCACGAGAACUAAAAGCUAGGCACAAUAAGUUGCUAGUUAGCAAGGCUAAAAACAUUGACGGCCAUGUUGUGGCACAUGAAGAGAAGGGAAAUGAAGUGAUUGACAGUUUUAGACCUCAAAGAUCGAGCAUAACAUCUGUCACUUCAUCGAGCUCGGAAACCUCAGCGACACAGUUUAAAGAUGCUGUUCAGAGCUUAGCAGAUAUUCCUGAUUCAGAUGAUCUUCCAGAGGCUGAUCAAAUGCCAGAACAGACUGAAGAUGUUGAUUCAAAUCGUCCAUUGUAUCGUGCUCAAACCCGUGAAGAUUUGCUGGAUGAAGAAGAAUCUGCGCUCGACAGUUCGGAUGAAGCAGAGAAACAUGUAGGAUUCGACACUGAUACAGAUGAUCAAUCAGAUAGGCCAAAUAAAUUGUAUCGAAGAGAUACACCUCACCAUUUAAAAAAUAAACGCAUUAACCUGAUUGAUUCUCAAAAGGAUUCAGAAAAGGUUCUUGCUAUUUUAGCACAAGCUGCUGAUAAAAAACCUAUAUCAGAUGAAGCACCCUCCUCCAACUCCUCACCUCUUCCACCUGAAUUAGAAAAUGAUGAAACUACUCAUGAUGCAAAUGGUCUUGAUGAAAGAAAUAUAAAUAUUACUAUUGCUCCUUCUGACAUAGAGAUAGUGAUCCAGAAAACGACUGCAGGCUUGGGUUUAAGUAUAGCUGGAGGUAUUGGUUCUACGCCUUACAAAGGAACUGAUGAGGGCAUAUUUGUAUCUAAAGUGAUUAGUGGUGGACCAGCUGAAGCUGGAGGUUUGAGGAUCGGUGAUAAAAUUGUCUCAGUUAAUGGGAAAAUUUUGGAAAAUGUUACUCACUUUGAUGCUGUGGAUGCUUUAAAAGCAGCUGGCUCUACGAUGGUUAUGGUCAUUCGAAGAGAAGCCGAGGAUGUCAAAAAUCAUCCUGCUGACUCUAUUGUAAAUGGUAACAUCAUUGAGAAUGGAACUGCUAAUCAUAUUGGAGAAGACAGUGCUUCACCUACAGAGCCAGUCCAGCUGAAUUCAAAAUUUCCAGCUGCUGAACAUAUCAUUCAAGACACAUGCAAUGAAAUACCUAAGAAAAUAGUUGAGAAUGAGAAAUCUAACUCUGUGCCAAAAAAUGUAAUGGACACACCCACAAAAAAUAAAUUAAAUUUAACAAUUGAUAUUCCCAAUGAAGAGGAAUCCAACAUGAAAAUUCAAGAGUCUGCAUCUCCUUCAUUUAGAAAACAAGCUUCUGAAGAUUUUGAUAUUAAAUUUGAAAUAUUGCAUACUACACUUAUUAGAGAACAAAAUGGUCUGGGUUUAAGUAUAUCUGACAAGCCAGCUGGUGUAGAAAAUGGUGAUGGUAUUUAUAUUACCAAAAUAUCAGAAAAUGGAGCUGCUGCAAAAGAUGGAAAACUCCAAGUUGGUGAUAAAGUGUUGACCAUAAAUGGAGUUGACAUGGAGGGUGCUCGGCAAGACCAAGCAGUUUCUCUCUUGAGUGGCUUGGAUCGUUUUGUUCGCCUCGUUGUACAACGUCAAAAACUUGUUAAAAGAGAUCCAAAUACUCCUCACCUCCCUGAGAAAACAUCCAUCACUCUGUCGUCUUCCUCCUUGCUCUCCCAAAAAUCACCUAAACUCAUUGGAUUGCCAAAACCAUACACUCCAAAGAUAUACUCAUCAGGCUCUUACAUGGCUAAUCGACCUUCCUACAUCGGAUCGUACCGUCGGCCCGAAUUGGCUGCUGCUUCCGAUGCAACAACAACAACAAAGCCCACAUUUUCCAUGUAUACUAAGCUUCCUGGUUUGAGGAACGAUCCUAUUAAUAUGGAACCUAUUCCCACCUAUUCUUCAACAAAUAGGACUAAUAUUGUGAAUAGUGUGUCAGAAACGAACUGCAACAAUAUCGAUCAUUUCAAAAGUGAGAAAGAAACCACAUCUUGUGCCUAUACUAAAACAAACUGUGUGAACCAUAUUAAUUCCAGUGGCAAUACAGAGGAAGUCAGUUUAGUAAAAGCUGGUGGACCUCUAGGCUUAAGCAUAAUUGGUGGUACUGACCAUUCGUGUCAUCCUUUUGGUGCUGAUGACCCUGGUAUUUUUAUAUCCAAGAUUGUUCCAGAGGGGGCUGCUGCCAAAACAGGGAAACUAAAAGUUGGUGAUAGAUUAUUAAAAGUCAAUGGUGCUGAAGUUAGUAAAGCAUCACAUAAAGAUGCUGUGAUGGCUCUCCUAGCCCCGACUUACGAAAUGACGUUGACCGUCCGCCACGACCCGUUGCCUCAAGGUUGGCAGGAAAUUGUGAUUAAUAAGCAUCCCAAUGAAAAAUUGGGCAUGGGCAUUAAAGGAGGCGUCGGAGGUGAAAAUGGCAACUUCAAAGAUAAAGAAGAUGAAGGAAUAUUCAUUUCAUGGGUAAACUCUGAUGGUGCAGCUGGUUUGGAUGGCAGAUUAUUACCUGGAAUGAGAAUUGUUGAGGUAAAUGAAACAUCUCUGUUAGGAGCAACAUAUCAGGAAGCUAUUACAGCCUUACGUACAGCUUGUGAUACUGUUCGACUAACUGUAUGCGAUGGAUUUAAUGAAACAUCUUGUGAAGAUAAUCUCGAAUUACCUGUCACAAUGAAAAGUUUUCAUUCGUCAUGUUCCAUUGAUAGAGAUGAUGAAAUGAUGAGUGUUAUCAGACAGGAACAAGAAGUUUUAAAAGAAACAGCUCAGUGGGAAAAAGAAGAUAUGGAAAAGAUGGAACAACAUAGAGAAAAGGAAAAUGAAGUAUGCGAUGGAUAUGAACAGAAAUUGGAUCCAGCUUCUGUUGAUAUCAGAUACUCUAGUGCUGAGAAUAUCCUAAAUUGUACUGAUCAAGUUAUGUAUAGUACACCUGUGAAAGUGGAGGGAAGAGAUAUGCCAUCUCCUAUUCACUUUAAUUCUCCUGAUGCUGAUUUAACUGUAAGUACAGAUGAAUCCAUGGUUGAUCCUAUUCACAGAGCUAGACUUCCUGGUGCAAAACCUGUUAUGCCAAAACUAUCUAAAGUUGCCAUUCCAUUUGUUGAUGAUCCUGAGCAAUUAACAUUCAGUGAGAAAAAGAGAAGGUUUGAGUUAGUUACUAAACCCAUUCAAGCACCCACGAUGGUUGAUGUAAAGCAAUUUAGUUACUUUACACCAGCUGAAUUGGAAAGGAUGAAAGAAGAAGAGGAAAGAAAACUUGCUUCAAUGACGGAGGAGGAAUUGAAGGUAUACCACUCAUUAGAAGAGGAAGAAUUGAAUGAAAUCAUUGACAAUAAUUUAUUCCACAUGAAGAAAGUUACUCUAGAAGAUGGUGCAACUAUACAACAAUGCUUUAUUUCUGAAGAAAACCGGUUAAUCUCAAAUCCAGAAUCAGAUGUUGAUCAAAGAAUAGAUGAUGAGUUGAAUAGUAAUGCCACUGAAGAAACUCUCUCGCCAUCUCAACUAAGAGCUUUGCAUGUUGCUAAACAAAUGGCUUUGAAGCAAGCCAGAUUAAAUCCAUUAGAAGAGGAUAUACUGCAACAAUCUCAAACAAGAAGCAAUGUUAAUGAAGAAUCUCAUUCUGUGUCACCUGUAAAUUUUGAAGAUUCUGAAGGAAGGCCUAGUCAUUGUACAAAACUCACUUGAUAGCGAAUGAAGGCAGCAUUGCCUCCUUUAAAGGUGCCCAAAUCAUGUAAUUAAUCACCUGUGGAUGUGAAUAAAGAAGUGGAAGCAGCAUCUGUUUGGUUUUAAUUUAUUUCCUGUAAAUUUAUUCAAAACCUCUCUAUUAGGGAGGUGACAAUCAUAUUGGUGUACAGAGAAACUGUAUUGCAAUGAAACAUGUCCUUCAUCCAUGACGAUAAUGUGUGGAAUCGAUUCGGCAAAUGCCAAUUUUUAGAAUUUUGAAAAUGCCAUGUUUAGAUGCAAUUUUAUCUUUAAGACAGUUAAUUUUGUUGUGAUUGAUUGAUUACUACCUUUUUAAAUUUUGUACCUUUUAUUUUUUCCCCUCAUAAAAGUUAUUGCAAAACCUUGAAGGUAGUAUCAGUUACUUCAACUAAACGAUGCUUUAUAGGUUAUAUCAGUUACUGCUACUAAACAAUGCUUUAAAGGUAGUAUCUGUUACUGUCUAAAUGAGCAGACCUUUUAAGGUAGCUAAGUCCUAUUUUAUUUCAUAGGACAAUUUUUAAAGUUUUAUUUUUUCGAGAUUUUUUUUUUAUUAUAAAAUACUUUCUUAUGCAAUCAACUUGUGUAUAAGUAAGUAUUUUUAGAUUUUAAUUAAUAUUUUCUAAAAUGAAAUUAAAUAUAUUGAUGAGAUUUGCAAUGAAUCAUCUGUCUUUUAAUAAUAUGCUUUUUUUAAAAAAUAUUUGUUUGAUAUCACUCGAAAUAAAUAUAUUUAUCUCUUAAGGCUGUUAUUAAUUUUCAAUAUUCUUUUUCUAUUUUUUUAUGUGAAUUUUGUUGUUUGCUUGAACAUUGAAUCUAUAAUCUACAUGACAUUUUUCUUAGAAUUUAUAGAAUAGAAAGAAAAAUUGCAUCUAUAAAUAUAGAAACAACUCAUUCAAAUUUGAAACAUAAUUUCUAACUUAUAACAAGUGAGCAAAUAACUCACAGAUAAAUGAAAAUAAACAUGCUAAAUUUUUUUAAUAUGUUUAUCUAUUAAUAAUAAUUAAAUAAUAAAAUACUAUUGUUGUUAUCUAUACUAAAGUGCCAAAUUGUAUGUAUUAGCAAUGAAUAGGUAAAUGAAAAUUUGGUUCAAUAUUGAAAUUUUCAGAUUUUUGCUUCAUCUCUUUAAUUCAUUUUUUUAAAAAACAUUUUCUUGUUUUUAUUAAGUUGUUUGUGUUUUAGUAUAAUUUGUGUUUAUUUUGCCAUGUUUUUCUUUUAUCAAAAACUCUUAAAUAUCAUACACCUUUGAUUUUUCUUUGUAAUGAAUCUAUUAAUAUUUUAGCCCCAAAUUAGUUCUCAUAAUUUAGUAAAGAUUGUUAUUAACUUGUUUCUUAUUUUAUUUCAUCAUUUGUUAUUGUUUCUAUUUCAUUAAAUUAACCAUUUGCAUAUUAGGUACAGUGAAGAAAAAAAAACAAGCUAGAAACAAUUUCCCGUAAUUUAUUUAUUAAUAUUCGGACAUAUUGUCUAUAAUCAGACAUUUUUCCCAUUGUGGUCCCAUGUCUGUAAAAAAAUAAUGUUGUUUGGACCAAUUGUGCACACCCACCUUAACUUUGUUGUCUGUUUGAAAUUAAUCUCACAAUAAUGCUUUAUUGUAACAAUUUUUGCCUGACAAGUAGUGCCAUCUAAUUAAUAAGAAGUGUAUUAAUCUUUCCCAUCACCACACUAUAAGAAAGUCUUAAUUUUCCUUGUUAUUUUUUUUUUACUGUAUCUAAUAGUUCUCAGCUUUUUUGUUUGCCAUAACCAAGAAGUAUAUCGACUUUGUAACUAUUUCACAUCUAUCAUAUUGCAAUUAUACUAAUUUUCACUUAUUUUUUAAUAUUCAAGAGACAUUCUUUCACGAGAAUUUUAUCUAUAAUCUCUGUUUUAUAUUUCAUGAUCAUCCAUUUUUAAGAUUGUCAUUUUUAUGCGGAUUCAAAGGGAAGUUCAUAGAGAUUUUUUUUUUGUUCUCUUCGAUAUUUUAGUAUUUUAGAAUGGAAUAAACUGCUUAAGCUUAUAAAUCAAGUCAGGGUUGGCGAAAAAUAAAACAGGGCAUGCUUGAAUAUUUUUUGUUGCAAAAAUAUAUUGAACUUUUUUUUUUAUUUUGUUGCCUCAAUGUUUUAUCAAAAAAUUCUUUCUUGUGUUUAUAUUAUUUAUGUAAAUAUUAGUUUCAUGACUCUAAAGUAUGCUACUUAUUUUCUUAAUUUUUAUUUUGUUUGUUUACACAUUUUCUAAUUGUAUCAAAUUCAGUUAAUGUUAUUCAAUAUUAAUUUAAUCAAAUCUAAUCCAAAAAUUUCUUUAAAAAAUUAUUUUUCUGUUUGAAAAGCCUUUUAAUAAAAUGGUAAAAAAAAUGAUUUUUCAAAAACAAAAAAAAAUUUAAUCAGAAAAGUUAAUAGUAUACAAUAAGGUAUACAACUUUUAUAGAAGCUUAACUUGUAUAAAUAUUUUAUAAAAAAAAAAAAAUUUGUAAUUUUUUUUUUCUUUUUUUUUUUUGCAUUUUUUAUUACGAGCUGUUUAAAAGUUUUUGAAACUUUUGAUUCUGAAUAAAAUGAUUGUAUCUUUCAUCUUUUUAGAGUAAAUAAAUUGAUAAAGUCUUGUACAUCAUAAAAAUAGGUUUCUUUUGGUCUAAACAUUCU
rnacentral:misc_RNA from 1 species